AUACAACAGUUCUUUCAUCAUUUUGUUGCUGGUUCAGUGCUUCAUGCAUGCCUUUUCAAUCCCAUGAUGUUUUUCUUUUGUUGCUCGAUGAAGUUCAUUAAGAACACCUAGAGGGCUAGCUAGAAUAAGCACCCAAGAGAGGAAAUUCAUACACAAAGCCAAAGGGGAGAGAGUAUAAGCCAAAGAACAAGACAAGCUAGACAUACAUGAAAAACACAAGAGAAACCUUAUCCUGCUCCCCAAGAUCAGGAUAUCAUCUUGAGAUGCGGCAGUCCAUAAACAAAAGAAAAGGAUGUAGGCUGCAAAUCAUGGCUCAUUUUUCCACAAGCCAGCUGAGCUUUAUACAAAUAGAGAAUAGGGUCCAGGGGCUGUAGAGCCAGAAGCCUGUACAACUAAACCUAGCUACCAGGCACCCCAAAAGACCACUCAACACCGAUCAGCAGCAGAUUAGUAUCCACAAGGGACACAAUCAAAUAAAUUUUGCAGCAGAAAAUUAAAGUUGGGAGACUGGGGAUACCAGUUGAAAGAUUAAACAAAUAUAUGCUGACAGAAGAUGAAGAAAUUUAUUCUCUGCAUUCACAAUAAUGUUUUACAGUGUACAUAUAUAUAUGCGUACAACUUGAAAAUAGGAUAAUUGCAGGUAUUUGAAUUUUAAACUAUAACAGAUUAUUUUUAUUCAUCUUCUUCCUCUAUCUUCCUCUGAUCUUUCUCCUAUGCUUGAUUCUGUUCCUAAUUUUGUUGAGGUUGUUAUGCUAUUCAAUACUCUAACACCCCUUCUCAAACUGUGGGGAAGAAGACAGACACACAGUUUGUCUCUUAGAAAGCAAUACCGAUUUGCAGUAUGGCUUUUUGUAAAGACAUCGGCAAUUUGGUCGUGUUGAGGUAUGCUGAAUUUGAAUAGCAUGAUUAACCACCUUCUCCUUAACGAAAUAGUAGUCAAUUUUGAUGUGUUUCGUGCGUGAAUGAAAGACAGGAUUAGAAGCUAAUGCAAUAGCACUGACAUUGUCACACCAUAAGCUUGGGGCAGUAGACAACGUUAUAAUUGAUAUGUAAUUCUUGAAGAAGCAUGCGAAGCCAGUACAGUUCAGCAGUUGUAUGAGCCAUGCUUCUAUAUUCAGCCUCUGUGCUAGAUCGAGAGACAACACUCUGCUUUUUGCUGCACCAAGAUAUAAGAUUAGUGCCAAGAAACACACCAUAACCAGUGGUGCUCCGCCUAUUAUCAGGAUUGCCUGCCCAAUCAGAGUCACAGUAGGCAUGCAUUGUGAUUGUCCCUGGAGUGUAAAGAAGACCAAACUCGAUAGUACCUUUUAGAUAGCUAUUGAAGAGCCCCUACAACUCGUCGAUAUUCAGUUGGAUUUUCUAACAGUUCACCAGCAGUAGAUGGGAGUUUAGAGCCAGAGGAUGAUGGACAACGGAGAGGCCUUGCACCAAGCAUGUAGGUACUGUUGAGCAAAUCAGUGAUAUACUUAGUCUGUCGCAGAUGUAAACCAGCUUGGUUCCUAAGUGCUUCAACACCAAGAAAGUAGCUCAAUUCACCCAAGUCUUUAAUUGGAAACACAUUCUGUAGUUGAUCAAUAAAAUAAUGAACUGCUUGAUGUCGGAUCCUGUGAUUA